GUCCACGCCGUAAACGAUGUCAACUAGCCGUUGGGGAUCUUGAAUCCUUAGUGGCGCAGCUAACGCACUAAGUUGACCGCCUGGGGAGUACGGCCGCAAGGUUAAAACUCAAAUGAAUUGACGGGGGCCCGCACAAGCGGUGGAGCAUGUGGUUUAAUUCGACGCAACGCGAAGAACCUUACCUGGCCUUGACAUGCAGAGAACUUUCCAGAGAUGGAUUGGUGCCUUCGGGAGCUCUGACAC
rnacentral:rRNA from 1 species